AAGGGCCAAGAAGUAAGCAUUUCACUAUUAGUCUACACCUGUUGUUUACGAAGUAUGUGACAAAUAAUGUAUUUUAAUUUUAUUUGACCUAACGCUGUGGGUGACGAUUAUCUGUAAUCAUCUCUGGUGGAGUUGUAGCUUAUGUGGAGAGGAGUUAGAGGUAAAUACAUAAAUCAAUAGUGUAACUGUAGAAAAACAACCCCACUCAUGUCUCACUCCCCUCAGCUGGUCUCAGACCACUUUGAAGUGUUUGUGACAGUAUUACCCAUCCCCCACUGAUGCCAAGAGGUCUAGGGCCAUAAAUCUGCCCUGUCUAUCAGGAGCCAACAAUCUACUCACCCUGACAGCCACAUCUCCAUUUCCCGGAACGGUGUGCAGAUAUCAACAAUGCUUGUCUCAUGCCUGUUUGUGAUCAAAUGUCAUUUUCAGGAGUUGAAGUGCAGGUUCAGGGCAAUGCUCCGUUACAAAUGAAUAAAAUAACAUCUGUGGGGUCUAUCACUGGGAAGUGGACAGAGUGGAACACCACUGUUACCAUGGAGCGCUAACAGAGGACCAGCAGAGGAAGAAGAGGUAAUUACAGGAAGAUUCACCAACCUUCAAAGCCCUGUACUCUCUGGUCAUGGACAACCCCUGCAGAAUGAUCUCGAUAAGAUGGCACUGUUCAAGCACACAGGAACACUUGAGGUAUUUCACAGUUCUAUGUUGAAAUACUGUCAAAAGCGUCUCCACUUCAAAGACUACAGCUUGAAAGCCCGUACCCAGUUGACAGUUUUGGACCACAAUGAGAAUCAGAACCGGAAAGGAGGACAAGCCUCAACCAUUGCUGAUUUCCGUCACUCCAAGAUACAACAUUGUUUACCCUAAACAGUCAACAUUGGAUUGCCCGGGCCAAUAUACCAGCCCACCAGGAAUGACCUGAUUGAGCGCGUCCUCAUGGACAAAUUAGUGAAAUACUGGGAGCCAAAAAUCCUGUGGAAGCGGCUGUCGUCUGGCUGCCAACAGCCCCCAUCCCAAACCCCAGUAAGGAGGAGGUUAUUGCAGCACACACAUCAAGACUCAAGGACACUUGGGGGCUUUUCUGACCCCCCCAACCUAAUAUGAACACACUCCGUUGUAAUAUAAUUUGUUAGCAUCUUAUCCUUAACAGUCUGCAUCUAUAGCAUUUUAUAAAAAUCCAUCUAAUGUAGGCUAGUACUGUAAAUAAAAGCACCGCCAUACCUACUUUAUACUGUCUAUUUUAACUUCUGUUGUUAUUUUAACUUUCGUUGAUGGGAAUUUUGAGAAUGCCUUGUCUAUACUGUGUAUUGUCCGUUGUUUUAUUUAACCUUUAUUUAACUAGGCAAAUCAGUUAAGAACAAAUUAUUAUUUACAAUGACGGCCUACCCAGGCCAACCCAGGCCAACGUUGCGCUGCCCUAUGGGACUCCCAAUCAUGGCCAGAUGUGAUACAGCCUGGAUUUGAACCAGGGACUGUAGUGACACCUCUUGCACUGAGAUGCACUUCCUUAGACCACUUGGGUUCAGUGAUCUGUGUUGUAAAAAAUAAAUGAUUGUCUUUGCUGAUUCAUCGAUUGUCCUGUCAUUUACAUAGGUAUACACUAUGAU